rnacentral:rRNA from 1 species
GACGAACGCUGGCGGCGUGCUUAACACAUGCAAGUCGAACGGAAAGGCCCCUUUGGGGGUACUCGAGUGGCGAACGGGUGAGUAACACGUGAGUAACCUGCCCUUGACUUCGGGAUAACUUCAGGAAACUGGGGCUAAUACCGGAUAGGAAUCCUUGCUGCAUGGUGGGGGUUGGAAAGCUUCGGCGGUUUUGGAUGGACUCGCGGCUUAUCAGCUUGUUGGUGGGGUAGUGGCUUACCAAGCUUUGACGGGUAGCCGGCCUGAGAGGGCGACCGGCCACAUUGGGACUGAGAUACGGCCCAGACUCCUACGGGAGGCAGCAGUGGGGAAUAUUGCACAAUGGGCGGAAGCCUGAUGCAGCAACGCCGCGUGCGGGAUGACGGCCUUCGGGUUGUAAACCGCUUUCAGCAGGGGCGAAGCUUGUGGUGACGGUACCUGCAGAAGAAGCACCGGCUAACUACGUG